CGUCGUCUCGCACCACAAUUUCCCCCCAAAUCCAUCCAUCCAACCUCUCGCGCCGCCGCCCGCCGGCCCCGCCGUCCGUCGUCCCCUCCCGCGCGCCGCACCGGGCACGCGUUGCCGUCGCUGUCUUCCUCGGCCUCCCAACUCCGCCGGCGUUGGAGAAGUUCUCCGUCCCUGCUAACCAGUUGCUAGGGACUGGAAUUGUAGGAGUAUUCCUGUCAAGAUGAUCUCAUCCUGCCCCAUCUGCAAUAUACAAGUUCUUACAGCUGAGCUGGAGCAGCAUGCCAACAUCCACUUUGAGGAUGAUGAUCAACUUCAAAAGGACAUGGAAUUGGCACAUCAGAUGGCACUUGCUGAAUCAAAUACAGAUAUCAUGGAUGGUCCUGAACAUUGUGCGGGAUCAUUCACCAGUGACUCUAAUACUCAAGGGGCCUCAUCAAGUCAUAGUGAAUACUUGCAUCAUUAUGGAAAGUUAUUAGAUGAACAGAUUUCUUGCUUGGUCGGAGCACAAAUUCGAAGUAAAGUUCAAGAAGUAGAAGGAGGUAUAAUGAGCUUAUUGAGGAGCUGCUUGGAGUCAGAAGGUGGUUCUUCAACAUGUAUGAUAUCAGGCUAUAUUGAGCAUCAUCAGAGUCUUCCAUCAGAAGAUAAGGGAUGGGGUUGUGGGUGGAGAAAUAUUCAGAUGCUGAGCUCUCAUCUGUUGAAGCAAAGACCAGAAGCUAGAGAGGUGUUAUUUGGUGGUUCUGGAUUUGUUCCUGACAUCCCAUCUCUCCAGAGAUGGCUUGAGAUUGCUUGGGAUAAAAAUUUUGAUAUCAUUGGUUCGAACCACUUUGAUAACAAAGUUUAUGGUGCCAAGAAAUGGAUAGGGACUACAGAAUGUGCUACCCUCUUUCGCUCUUUUGGCCUCCAUGCAAGGAUCGUAGAUUUUGAUAGCACAGAAUCAUCUGGCCUCAAAAGUAAGAAUGGAAAACGUGCAGCGAGUCAAGUACAAGGGCCUAUGGACAAGUUCUUGAUAAAGAAUAAUCCUCCAAAAUCAUCGUCUGAACUUUGUCAAGAGGAUGCUGAAAGUAUGAGAGGACAGCAGGUCCUUGUUGACUGGAUUUGGAACUACUUUGCAAGUUGCUGCUCUGAUAGAUUUACCACACCGCGUGUCACUGUCAGCAACAAAAGCCCACUGUAUUUCCAGCAUCAAGGCCAUUCAAGGACAAUAGUUGGGAUUCAAAAGAAAAAGGGUCGCGGAUCUCAGGACCAAUAUACCCUUUUGAUUUUAGAUCCUGGUCAUAGAACAGUGGAUCUAGAGAGGACUCUCAGAAGCAAAAAAGGAUGGCAGUCUCUGGUGAAAAGAGGUGUCCACACCCUCAGGAAGCCACAGUAUCAGUUGUGUUAUGUGGAUUCUGGAAUUGCUGAUUCAGAAGAAAUGGAGCAACUCAAGACAAUUGACAGUAUACUGGUCAGGUUUUAGAUUCCUGGAACGGAGGGAGUAAUUUGGAGCAUAUUUCUAAUGGCUUAACAGAAAUUGGGAUGGCGAUCAUAUGUAUUGUGCAUACAGGGUUCUCUUCCCAGUUUGAAGAAACAAGGACAUCUAAUACAUUUUCGAGCUCUCCAAUUGGUUAGGCAAUGUAUGAAUGCCGUUGCAUGUAUGGCUCUGCAGAGAAGACCUUUGAAGCAGCCUGACUGUUUGCCGACUGGAUCUACCAGUUGACGGGGGUUGUUGCAUCUGCAGCUGUAGUUAAAUGAAACAGCACUUGGCGUUGCUGUCUUCUGUGGCCAACCUACGAGAGACCGUCAGAGUCACUUGAGUUGAAGCGGAGGAAUCAAGUCUUUGUACAUAUACAAUAUCCUACGAAACACUAUUGCCCUUGGAUCCCGAACAGUUAGCCUUUUGUGAUGGAUCUGAUGCUGCACAGUCAGCUCAGCUGACUAGAAUAUCGACUUGAGGACUGCAUUGUGCAUGAGUGCCAUGAGUGGGAAUCUGUAAAUGGUGUAAGCUGCUUUCUGUUGCAGUAUGAGGUUCCUGAAGCAAAGAACAUCCAAGUGGAUUUGUCUGAAACUUGUCGGUUCGUGGGACCUGAUGGGUUUUUUUUUUCUGUCUUGGGGUGAACUGGUAGGCAUAUUGAGAGUGUUCCUUAUGCACUGCACUUGGAUUGCAUGGAACUUAACAUAUGUACAAGGUGACUUGGUGGCGGUUAUCUGUUGUGUCAUGCUGCCUACCAUCCUGCUACGUGCAGAUGUUUGUUGGAUGUUGGGUGGCAAGCAAGCCAUUCCUUUUCCACUGAAUUGCACAUCUCCCAGUACAAAUUUGAUUCCU